rnacentral:rRNA from 1 species
CGUGAGGGAAAGGCGAAAAGAACCCCGGCGAGGGGAGUGAAAAAGAACCUGAAACCGUGUACGUACAAGCAGUGGGAGCACGCUUAGGCGUGUGACUGCGUACCUUUUGUAUAAUGGGUCAGCGACUUAUAUUCUGUAGCAAGGUUAACCGAAUAGGGGAGCCGAAGGGAAACCGAGUCUUAACUGGGCGUUAAGUUGCAGGGUAUAGACCCGAAACCCGGUGAUCUAGCCAUGGGCAGGUUGAAGGUUGGGUAACACUAACUGGAGGACCGAACCGACUAAUGUUGAAAAAUUAGCGGAUGACUUGUGGCUGGGGGUGAAAGGCCAAUCAAACCGGGAGAUAGCUGGUUCUCCCCGAAAGCUAUUUAGGUAGCGCCUCGUGAAUUCAUCUCCGGGGGUAGAGCACUGUUUCGGCAAGGGGGUCAUCCCGACUUACCAACCCGAUGCAAACUGCGAAUACCGGAGAAUGUUAUCACGGGAGACACACGGCGGGUGCUAACGUCCGUCGUGAAGAGGGAAACAACCCAGACCGCCAGCUAAGGUCCCAAAGUCAUGGUUAAGUGGGAAACGAUGUGGGAAGGCCCAGACAGCCAGGAUGUUGGCUUAGAAGCAGCCAUCAUUUAAAGAAAGCGUAAUAGCUCACUGGUCGAGUCGGCCUGCGCGGAAGAUGUAACGGGGCUAAACCAUGCACCGAAGCUGCGGCAGCGACGCUGAUGCGUUGUUGGGUAGGGGAGCGUUCUGUAAGCCUGCGAAGGUGUGCUGUGAGGCAUGCUGGAGGUAUCAGAAGUGCGAAUGCUGACAUAAGUAACGAUAAAGCGGGUGAAAAGCCCGCUCGCCGGAAGACCAAGGGUUCCUGUCCAACGUUAAUCGGGGCAGGGUGAGUCGACCCCUAAGGCGAGGCCGAAAGGCGUAGUCGAUGGGAAACAGGUUAAUAUUCCUGUACUUGGUGUUACUGCGAAGGGGGGACGGAGAAGGCUAUGUUGGCCGGGCGACGGUUGUCCCGGUUUAAGCGUGUAGGCUGGUUUUCCAGGCAAAUCCGGAAAAUCAAGGCUGAGGCGUGAUGACGAGGCACUACGGUGCUGAAGCAACAAAUGCCCUGCUUCCAGGAAAAGCCUCUAAGCAUCAGGUAACAUCAAAUCGUACCCCAAACCGACACAGGUGGUCAGGUAGAGAAUACCAAGGCGCUUGAGAGAACUCGGGUGAAGGAACUAGGCAAAAUGGUGCCGUAACUUCGGGAGAAGGCACGCUGAUAUGUAGGUGAAGUCCCUUGCGGAUGGAGCUGAAAUCAGUCGAAGAUACCAGCUGGCUGCAACUGUUUAUUAAAAACACAGCACUGUGCAAACACGAAAGUGGACGUAUACGGUGUGACGCCUGCCCGGUGCCGGAAGGUUAAUUGAUGGGGUCAGCGCAAGCGAAGCUCUUGAUCGAAGCCCCGGUAAACGGCGGCCGUAACUAUAACGGUCCUAAGGUAGCGAAAUUCCUUGUCGGGUAAGUUCCGACCUGCACGAAUGGCGUAAUGAUGGCCAGGCUGUCUCCACCCGAGACUCAGUGAAAUUGAACUCGCUGUGAAGAUGCAGUGUACCCGCGGCAAGACGGAAAGACCCCGUGAACCUUUACUAUAGCUUGACACUGAACAUUGAGCCUUGAUGUGUAGGAUAGGUGGGAGGCUUUGAAGUGUGGACGCCAGUCUGCAUGGAGCCGACCUUGAAAUACCACCCUUUAAUGUUUGAUGUUCUAACGUUGACCCGUAAUCCGGGUUGCGGACAGUGUCUGGUGGGUAGUUUGACUGGGGCGGUCUCCUCCUAAAGAGUAACGGAGGAGCACGAAGGUUGGCUAAUCCUGGUCGGACAUCAGGAGGUUAGUGCAAUGGCAUAAGCCAGCUUGACUGCGAGCGUGACGGCGCGAGCAGGUGCGAAAGCAGGUCAUAGUGAUCCGGUGGUUCUGAAUGGAAGGGCCAUCGCUCAACGGAUAAAAGGUACUCCGGGGAUAACAGGCUGAUACCGCCCAAGAGUUCAUAUCGACGGCGGUGUUUGGCACCUCGAUGUCGGCUCAUCACAUCCUGGGGCUGAAGUAGGUCCCAAGGGUAUGGCUGUUCGCCAUUUAAAGUGGUACGCGAGCUGGGUUUAGAACGUCGUGAGACAGUUCGGUCCCUAUCUGCCGUGGGCGCUGGAGAACUGAGGGGGGCUGCUCCUAGUACGAGAGGACCGGAGUGGACGCAUCACUGGUGUUCGGGUUGUCAUGCCAAUGGCACUGCCCGGUAGCUAAAUGCGGAAGAGAUAAGUGCUGAAAGCAUCUAAGCACGAAACUUGCCCCGAGAUGAGUUCUCCCUGACUCCUUGAG